rnacentral:rRNA from 1 species
GGACGAACGCUGGCGGCACGCCUAACACAUGCAAGUCGAACGGUGUUGAUUGAGUUACUUAGAUUAACAUAGUGGCGGACGGGUGAGUAACACGUGAGCAACCUGCCUUUUGGCGAGGGAUAGCUUCUGGAAACGGAUGGUAAUACCUCAUGAUAUAGCUGAGUCGCAUGGCUUGGUUAUCAAAGAAUUUCGCCAAAAGAUGGGCUCGCGUCUGAUUAGGUAGUUGGUGAGGUAACGGCUCACCAAGCCGACGAUCAGUAGCCGGACUGAGAGGUUGAACGGCCACAUUGGGACUGAGACACGGCCCAGACUCCUACGGGAGGCAGCAGUGAGGGAUAUUGCACAAUGGGGGAAACCCUUGAUGCAGCGACGCCGCGUGGAGGAAGAAGGUUUUCGGAUUGUAAACUCCUGUUUCGAGGGACGAUAAUGACGGUACCUCGGGAGGAAGCUCCGGCUAACUACGUGCCAGCCGCUGC